UACGUAGGGUGCGAGCGUUGUCCGGAAUUAUUGGGCGUAAAGAGCUUGUAGGUGGCUCGUUGCGUCGGGAGUGAAAACCUGCGGCUUAACCGCAGGCCUGCUUCCGAUACGGGCGAGCUAGAGUUCGGCAGGGGAGACUGGAAUUCCUGGUGUAGCGGUGGAAUGCGCAGAUAUCAGGAGGAACACCAAUAGCGAAGGCAGCUCGCUGGGACGUUACUGACACUGAGGCGCGAAAGCGUGGGGAGCGAACAGG
rnacentral:rRNA from 1 species